GUAUAGAACCUACCUUAUAUUGGGGGAUAGCCCAGAGAAAUUUGGAUUAAUACCCCAUAGUAUGCUGAAGUGGCAUCCUUUAGUAUUAAAGAUUUAUCGAUAUAAGAUGGCUAUGCGUUCUAUUAGCUAGUUGGUAUGGUAACGGCAUACCAAGGCUACGAUAGAUAGGGGUCCUGAGAGGGAGAUCCCCCACACUGGUACUGAGACACGGACCAGACUCCUACGGGAGGCAGCAGUGAGGAAUAUUGGACAAUGGAGGCAACUCUGAUCCAGCCAUGCCGCGUGCAGGAAGACUGCCCUAUGGGUUGUAAACUGCUUUUAUAGAGGAAGAAACCCCCCGACGAGUCGGGUCUGACGGUACUCUACGAAUAAGGAUCGGCUAACUCCGUGCCAGCAGCCGCGGUAAUACGGAGGAUCCAAGCGUUAUCCGGAAUCAUUGGGUUUAAAGGGUCCGUAGCGGAUUUGUAAGUCAGUGGUGAAAGUUUGCGGCUCAACCGUAAAAUUGCCAUUGAUACUGCAAGUCUUGAAUCAUUGUGAAGUGGUUAGAAUAUGUAGUGUAGCGGUGAAAUGCAUAGAUAUUACUUAGAAUACCGAUUGCGAAGCAGAUCACUAAUAAUGUAUUGACGCUAAGGGACGAAAGCGUGGGUAGCGAACAGGAUUAGAUACCCUGGUAGUCCACGCCGUAAACGAUGGUUACUAGCUGUUCGGAUUUCGAUCUGAGUGG
rnacentral:rRNA from 1 species